CACGUAGGGUGCGAGCGUUGUCCGGAAUCAUUGGGCGUAAAGCGCGCGUAGGCGGCCCGGUAAGUCCGCUGUAAAAGUCAAAGGCUCAACCUUUGAAUGUCAGUGGAUACUGCCGGGCUAGAGUCCGGAAGAGGCGAGUGGAACUCCUGGUGUAGCGGUGGAAUGCGCAGAUAUCAGGAAGAACACCGACGGCGAAGGCAGCUCGCUGGGACGGUACUGACGCUGAGGCGCGAAAGCGUGGGGAGCGAACAGG
rnacentral:rRNA from 1 species